CCUACGGGCGGCAGCAGUGGGGAAUAUUGCACAAUGGGCGCAAGCCUGAUGCAGCCAUGCCGCGUGUGUGAAGAAGGCCUUCAGGUUGUAAAGCACUUUCAGCGGGGAGGAAGGCGUUAAGGUUAAUAACCUUGUCGAUUGACGUUACCCGCAGAAGAAGCACCGGCUAACUCCGUGCCAGCAGCCGCGGUAAUACGGAGGGUGCAAGCGUUAAUCGGAAUUACUGGGCGUAAAGCGCACGCAGGCGGUCUGUCAAGUCGGAUGUGAAAUCCCCGGGCUCAACCUGGGAACUGCAUUCGAAACUGGCAGGCUAGAGUCUUGUAGAGGGGGGUAGAAUUCCAGGUGUAGCGGUGAAAUGCGUAGAGAUCUGGAGGAAUACCGGUGGCGAAGGCGGCCCCCUGGACAAAGACUGACGCUCAGGUGCGAAAGCGUGGGGAGCAAACAGGAUUAGAUACCCCAGUAGUC
rnacentral:rRNA from 1 species